UUCUUACUAACCCAAUUGGUCAUCGGAGAUGAAUCAAAUGUUUGACGCAUCAAACUCACCAUAAACGCCGAUAGAACACAACUCUUAGAGCUAGAAUAAACAGAGGAUGGAAGGAAGAACGCACAAGGCACAUGUAACCAGCAGAGUUGCAUGCCCUAGGUUCAAGAGAAACAGAGAAACAGUAAAGAAUCACUUACUAGCGAGAAGGGAGAAAAUGAUCGGU
rnacentral:lncRNA from 1 species